rnacentral:rRNA from 1 species
GACGAACGCUGGCGGCGUGCUUAACACAUGCAAGUCGAACGGAAAGGCCUCUUUCGGGGGGUACUCGAGUGGCGAACGGGUGAGUAACACGUGAGUAACCUGCCCUUGACUUUGGGAUAACUUCAGGAAACUGGGGCUAAUACCGGAUAGGAGCUCCUGCUGCAUGGUGGGGGUUGGAAAGUUUCGGCGGUUGGGGAUGGACUCGCGGCUUAUCAGCUUGUUGGUGGGGUAGUGGCUUACCAAGGCCUUGACGGGUAGCCGGCCUGAGAGGGUGACCGGCCACAUUGGGACUGAGAUACGGCCCAGACUCCUACGGGAGGCAGCAGUGGGGAAUAUUGCACAAUGGGUGGAAGCCUGAUGCAGCAACGCCAUGUGCGGGAUGACGGCCUUCGGGUUGUAAACCGCUUUCGCUCAUGACGAAGCUUUGUGUGACGGUAGUGGGUAAAGAAGCACCGGCUAACUACGUG